rnacentral:rRNA from 1 species
GACGGGCCGCACAAGCGGUGGAGCAUGUGGUUUAAUUCGAGGCAACGCGAAGAACCUUACCAGGUCUUGACAUCCCUGACAACCCGAGAGAUCGGCGUUCCCCUUCGGGGGACAGGGUGACAGGUGGUGCAUGGUUGUCGUCAGCUCGUGUCGUGAGAUGUUGGGUUAAGUCCCGCAACGAGCGCAACCCUCGACCUUAGUUGCCAGCAUUCAGUUGGGCACUCUAAGGUGACUGCCGGCUAAAAGUCGGAGGAAGGUGGGGAUGACGUCAAAUCAUCAUGCCCCUUAUGACCUGGGCUACACACGUGCUACAAUGGGCGGUACAAAGGGUCGCGAACCCGCGAGGGGGAGCCAAUCCCAAAAAGCCGCUCUCAGUUCGGAUUGCAGGCUGCAACUCGCCUGCAUGAAGCCGGAAUCGCUAGUAAUCGCAGGUCAGCAUACUGCGGUGAAUACGUUCCCGGGUCUU